GUGAGGAAUAUUGGUCAAUGGGCGAGAGCCUGAACCAGCCAAGUCGCGUGAAGGAAGAAGGAUCUAUGGUUCGUAAACUUCUUUUGCAGGGGAAUAAAGUGUAGGACGUGUCCUGUUUUGUAUGUACCCUGAGAAUAAGGAUCGGCUAACUCCGUGCCAGCAGCCGCGGUAAUACGGAGGAUCCGAGCGUUAUCCGGAUUUAUUGGGUUUAAAGGGUGCGUAGGUGGUUUGAUAAGUCGGCGGUGAAAGUUUGCAGCUUAACUGUAAAAAUGCCGUUGAAACUGUCGGACUUGAGUGUAAAUGAGGUAGGCGGAAUGCGUGGUGUAGCGGUGAAAUGCAUAGAUAUCACGCAGAACUCCGAUUGCGAAGGCAGCUUACUAAGCUACAACUGACACUGAAGCACGAAAGCGUGGGGAUCAAACAGGAUUAGAAACCCGGGUAGUCC
rnacentral:rRNA from 1 species